rnacentral:rRNA from 1 species
GAUGAACGCUGGCGGCGUGCCUAAUACAUGCAAGUCGAGCGAACACACGAGGAGCUUGCUCCUCUGACGUUAGCGGCGGACGGGUGAGUAACACGUGGAUAACAUUCCUAUUAUACUGGGAUAACUUCGGGAAACCGGCGCUAAUACCGGAUAAUAUAUCGCACCGUAUGGUUCAAUAGUGAAUGACGGUUUUGCUGACACUAUUAGCUGGAUUCGCACGGCCUUGUCUAGUUGGUAAGGUAACGGCUUACCAAGGCAACGAUGCGUAGCUGACGUGAUAGAGAGAUCGGCAACACAGAAACGGAGACAGGGACCAAACACAUACGGAAGGCAGGAGGAGGUAAUAAUGAGUAGUGGGCGAAAGCUGGACUGAGCAAGCCGGGUCGAGUGAUGAAGGACUUCGGUUCGUAAAACACUGUUAUUAGAGAAGAAAAAAUGAGUAAGUAACUAUGCAGGUCUGGACGUAACCUAAGAAGAAGGCCAGGCUAACUUCGUG